AUAAUACAUGGGGCAUUUGAGGUGUAUUCUGCAAAAAAUUUCUGCAACUCUAGAAAGUAAAGGUUGGAAUUGAAUUGCCGCGCACAAAAUGCACUAUUCCCUGAUAGUUCACUUAGUGUGAUAGCGUUCGAAGCACGGCACUGCGCAGAGAGCCUUCUUGCACCACCUGCACCAGAUCCUGGUUUCCUUGCGGAUGUUUUUGCCAUUUCCCUCUCGCUUCAUGUAG
rnacentral:lncRNA from 1 species